GACGAACGCUGGCGGCGUGCUUAACACAUGCAAGUCGAACGAAGAGCGACGGCAUCUUGCUUCUUUCAAUCUUAGUGGCGAACGGGUGAGUAACGCGUAAUCAACCUGCCCUUCAGAGGGGGACAACAGUUGGAAACGACUCCUAAUACCUCAUACGAUCUAAUCUCGGCAUCCAGGAUGGCUGAAAGUUGGCCUCUACAUUUAAUCUAUCACUGAAGUAGGUGAUUGCGGCUGCUUAGGUAGUUGGAGGGGUAACGGCCCACCAAGGCGAUGAUCAGGAGACGGGCUGAGAGGAUGAACGGCCACAAUGGGACUGAGACACGGCCCAGACUCCUACGGGAGGGAGCAGUGGGGAAUCUUCCGAAAUGGACGAAAGGCUGAAGGAGCAACGCCGCGGGAGGGAUGAAGGGCGUCGGGUUGGAAAGCUAUGUUAAUCGGGACGAAAGGCCUGCUUGCGAAUAGUGAGAAGGAUUGACGGUACCGGAAGAGAAAGCCACGGCUAACUACGUG
rnacentral:rRNA from 1 species